AGUGAACGCUGGCGGUAGGCCUAACACAUGCAAGUCGAACGGCAGCACAGUAAGAGCUUGCUCUUACGGGUGGCGAGUGGCGGACGGGUGAGGAAUACAUCGGAAUCUACUUUUUCGUGGGGGAUAACGUAGGGAAACUUACGCUAAUACCGCAUACGACCUACGGGUGAAAGCAGGGGAUCUUCGGACCUUGCGCGAUUGAAUGAGCCGAUGUCGGAUUAGCUAGUUGGCGGGGUAAAGGCCCACCAAGGCGACGAUCCGUAGCUGGUCUGAGAGGAUGAUCAGCCACACUGGAACUGAGACACGGUCCAGACUCCUACGGGAGGCAGCAGUGGGGAAUAUUGGACAAAGGGCGCAAGCCUGAUCCAGCCAUACCGCGUGGGUGAAGAAGGCCUUCGGAUUGCAAAGCCCUUUUGUUGGGAAAGAAAAGCAGCAGGUUAAUACCCCGCUGUUCUGACGGUACCCAAAGAAUAAGCACCGGCUAACUUCAUG
rnacentral:rRNA from 1 species